GAGGGGUGUUGGGGGUGUAGAGAUGUGUACAUGGGUGGCAGAGUGGUUUAGAGGAGUGUAUAUGAGUGUUAGAUGGGUGUAAAUGGGUGAAAGGGGGCGUAGGGGGUGACAGAGUGGUGUACAUUGGUGACAGAGAGGUGUUGGGGGUGUAGAGGAGUGUACGUGGGUGGCAGAGGAGCGCAGAGUAGUAUACAUGGAUAACAGAAGGGUGUAGGGGUGUACAUUGGUGAUAGAAGGGUGUAGAGGAGUGUACAUGGGUGACGGAGGAGCUUUGAGGAGUGUACAUGGGUAACAGAUGGGUGUAGAGGGGUGUACAUGGGUGACAGAGCGGUGUAGAGGAGUGUACAUGGGUGACAGAGGGGUGUAGAGGAGUAUACAUGGGUGACAGAGGGGUGUAGAGUAGUGUACAUGGGUGACAGAGGGGUGUAGAGGAGUGUACAUGGGUAACAGAGUAGUGAAGAGGAGUGUACAGAGGCCUACAUUACCAUUACUUGAUUAACUGUUGUAUAUUAUAUAAAACAUUUAGAUAAAAUAUAUUACAAAAAUAUACAUUAUAUUUUAAGUUCCUUUUUCCCCUCCUUUUUCUAUAAUUCCUGAGAUAAGUAGUUCUGGCCCUAGAGUGUUAUAUAUAUAUUAGCGUCUGUAGCAUGUAUCAGGAACAUGUUAUCAUACCUGUGUCUUUUUUACAGAGGACUAAUGCCCGGUGAAAAGGUGAACGUGUCAUAUACCCCCGUCAGCUGCAAGAAAGGAACCACGAAACAGAUGACUGAAGCCCGGUGAAAAGGUGAACGUGACAUAUACCCCCGUCAGCUCCAAGAAAGGAACCACGAAACAGAUGACUGAUGCCCGGUGAAAAGGUGAGCGUGACAUAUACCCUCGUCAGCUGCAAGAAAGGAACCACGAAAUAGGUAAUUAAU